UGCCUCAGUACGGCGAGUGAAGCGGCAAGAGCUCAAAUUUGAAAGCUGGCCCCCUCGGGUCCGCAUUGUAAUUUGCAGAGGAUGCUUCGGGAGUGGCCCCCAUCUAAGUGCUCUGGAACGGGCCGUCAUAGAGGGUGAGAAUCCCGUAUGGGAUGGGGUGUCCGCGACCAUGUGAAGCUCCUUCAACGAGUCGAGUUGUUUGGGAAUGCAGCUCUAAAUGGGUGGUAAAUUUCAUCUAAAGCUAAAUAUUGGCCGGAGACCGAUAGCGCACAAGUAGAGUGAUCGAAAGAUGAAAAGCACUUUGAAAAGAGAGUUAAAAAGCACGUGAAAUUGUUGAAAGGGAAGCGCUUGCGACCAGACUCGCCUACGGGGUUCAGCCGGUAUUCGUACCGGUGUACUUCCCCGUGGGCGGGCCAGCGUCGGUUUGGGCGGCCGGUCAAAGGCCCUCGGAAUGUAACGCCUCUCGGGGCGUCUUAUAGCCGAGGGUGCAUGCGGCCAGCCCAGACCGAGGAACGCGCUUCGGCACGGACGCUGGCAUAAUGGUCGUAAGCGACCCGUCUUGAAACACGGACCAAGGAGUCUAACAUCUACGCGAGUGUUCGGGUGUCAAACCCGUGCGCGCAGUGAAAGCGAACGGAGGUGGGAACCCUCGCGGGUGCACCAUCGACCGAUCCUGAUGUCUUCGGAUGGAUUUGAGUAAGAGCGUAGCUGUUGGGACCCGAAAGAUGGUGAACUAUGCCUGAAUAGGGCGAAGCCAGAGGAAACUCUGGUGGAGGCUCGCAGCGGUUCUGACGUGCAAAUCGAUCGUCGAAUUUGGGUAUAGGGCGAAAGACUA
rnacentral:rRNA from 1 species